rnacentral:tRNA from 1 species
GCCUCGGUACUCCAACGGUAGAGAGGGCAGUCUCAAACACUGCAUAGUGUCGGUUCAAAUCCGACUCGAGGCACCC